rnacentral:misc_RNA from 1 species
AACCAUAGAAACCUGCGGAGUACCUGCGGAGGGAUCAUUACCGAGUUUACAACUCCCAAACCCCUGUGAACAUACCACUUGUUGCCUCGGCGGAUCAGCCCGCUCCCGGUAAAACGGGACGGCCCGCCAGAGGACCCCUAAACUCUGUCUCUAUAUGUAACUUCUGAGUAAAACCAUAAAUAAAUCAAAACUUUCAACAACGGAUCU